rnacentral:rRNA from 1 species
AUGAUAGGCCUAAGCUGGAACUGCCGAGGAAUCGGGGGCGCCUCGACAGUUCGUGAUCUCAUUGCCCUCGUUAAGUGUCAUCAUCCACAAUUUGUGUUUUUAUGUGAAACUCAGCAAAGCGCGAAAAAAGUCAGCCGUCUUUGUUCUCGGUUAGGUCUUCGUGAUUUUUGUGGAGUUGAUAGUGUGGGUCAAAGUGGUGGGCUCACUCUGUUUUGGAAUGAAUAA